UGUUACCCAUCAGGCUACCUCUUGAGUCUCU
rnacentral:piRNA from 1 species